rnacentral:rRNA from 1 species
UAGGGAAUCUUCGGCAAUGGGGGGAACCCUGACCGAGCAACGCCGCGUGUGUGAAGAAGGUUUUCGGAUCGUAAAGCUCUGUUGUUAAGGAAGAACGAGUGUGAGAAUGGAAAGUUCAUGCUGUGACGGUACUUAACCAGAAAGGGACGGCUAACUACGUGCCAGCAGCCGCGGUAAUACGUAGGUCCCGAGCGUUGUCCGGAUUUAUUGGACCUAAAGCGAGCGCAGGCGGUUAGAUAAGUCUGAAGUUAAAGGCAGUGGCUCAACCAUGGUUGGCUUUGGAAACUGUUUAACUUGAGUGCAGAAGGGGAGAGUGGAAUUCCAUGUGUAGCGGUGAAAUGCGUAGAUAUAUGGAGGAACACCGGUGGCGAAAGCGGCUCUCUGGUCUGUAACUGACGCUGAGGUUCGAGAGCGUGGGUAGCAAACAGG